AAUGUGAGGCGCGGGAAGUGUGGGGGAAGUGUGGGGUGCGCGGCCUGGAUUUAUAGAGAGAAACUUUAUUUUGCCCAAAAUAAUACUAGCAUUUUAAACACACAUAAUGAAAACGUCAUAAUUAGACGACGUAGUAUCGCUGGUAGGUAACUAAAGUUUUAUCACAGAAAUGUCAUCUAUAGGCCUUGUGGAUGAGUUAAAUUAAAAUCGUUGAAAAACUAAACUUCAUUAUGAUUUAAAGGAUCCUCAGUUAAGUCAAUGUAAGAAGAAGAAGAGAAAAAACACAGGUCUUAACGUCUUAAUGGAACUGGAAAAGCAAGGUAUUGGUGCAGUGAUGUACAAAUAUUCACCGUAUGGAAGUGCUUCUUAACAUCAGUGAAUUAUUGUAAUGUGAUGUAGCCUAAUGUUGUCUGUCAUAUUGUACACCAUGGGGUCGCCAACUGGCCUGCUUUGCCUGGCCUGUCAGAUCAUUUUGACUUUUUGCUUUCUGUCAACUUAUUAAGCAUCUUAACAAGAUUAGAUCUGAGUAUUCAUCUCCUGUUCCGCCUGCAUUGUCUAAUCGCUCAGGCUCAUCCCCCCUGCUGACCUCUGUUGUACAGUCUUGAUGUAACCCUUAACUCUAUGUACAUAUUCUGUUUGUCAUAGGAUCAUGUCAGCUGAACUCAAUUAAUGAAACCAGGAAUGAAGUAAGAUCCACUAAUGCAAUAAACUGUCUGCACUUAAUGUUCUACCUACAAUUAAAGUUUUUAUUUCCUUACUCUAUAGUAUAGGGAUAGAUACAGCAAUAUAUUCCUGUAAUCUAUCAGCUGUAAGCUUUGUACCCUCUAACUGGCUUCUGUAUUUGCCCAGGUGUAUGUGAGUCCGUUUUUUUUUUUUAAUGGAAUUUUUAUUUUCGGUGCCAUCACCCAUCUUGUGAGCUGUUGAGGGAGAACAACCACAGGCUGCAGAGGGAAAAUGAUUCUCUCAAGGCAAAAAUAGCAACAUUGAAAUGUAAUGCUAUUGUUGAAAACUUUGUUUUUUUUUACACAAGGGUUUUUCUGUUUUACAUGUUAGCUAAAAGGCUAUUAUGAAUCCUUUGCUCAGUGCUGCCAGACGUUUUGCAGAAGAUGGAGGAGUUUCUCCGCUCAGCACCAAGACCAACGACAACACCAAUACCAACACCAAGACCAUGACCAAGACCAAGACCAGAACCAACACUAUCACCAGCACCAACAGCAGUUCCAGCACCAGCAACAGAAGACCCAUCACCAGCACCAGGUCCAUCAUCAGCAUCAGCAACAGAGGCCCUGGGCCACUCUGUCAUUCCAAAAGGACUUGUGGAGCGCUGCUCCUUCCAAAGCCCCCAGAAGUUCAUAAAUGAUCUCCUACAUGGGAUGUAUACCAGGGAAUAUAUGGCAGGCCAUUCAGUGACUGGCCAGUCACCUAGCAGCUGCACAGAAGGAAAACCUGGCCUAGCCCAACAAGACCUUGUUGAAAUAACAAAUGCUGCAAAGUUGAAGUUCACCUACGUAACUGAUACGAACAUAAAAGCAUUUAUACGACAAAAGCUGAACAAUGCUGCCAAAUUUCAGAAACAAUAAAUUAUCAACUGUUUAAAGAAAGUUCAACUUUUGUUCUAUUUUUUUUUGUAUUUUAGCAGUCUGUAGAAAACACUGUGUUAAUGGUGGUUGUAAGCCUAAUUUAUGUGCGGUGAAUUAUUGUUACAGCACUAUGGUUAAAAAUGGCAACAACAAAAAGUGAUACAGUGGAAAAUAUCCAUUAGGUAAAGUACAAUGACAUAGUUAAAAGAACAACAAAAUACUGCAUAAUGCAGUAAUUGUAAUGCAGUAUAUAUAGUACUAUGGUAUCGUAAUUGUAGUAUUCUAUAGCAAAAUAAAAGUAUAAUAAAAGUUCUGUAAUUUACUUCAGUAGAUUGUAGUUUAUGUAGUAAACUGUAGUAGUAUAUAAUGUAGUAUAUUGUAGUAAUAAAACUGCAGUUUUCUGUAGUAUACUAUAGUUUACUGUAGU